rnacentral:rRNA from 1 species
UACGGAGGGUGCGAGCGUUGUCCGGAAUCACUGGGCGUAAAGGGCGCGUAGGCGGCCUGAUAAGUAGGGGGUGAAAUCCUGCGGCUUAACCGCAGGGCUGCCUUCUAAACUGUCAGGCUUGAGCACAGUAGAGGCAGGUGGAAUUCCCGGUGUAGCGGUGGAUUGCGUAGAGAUCGGGAAGAACAUCAGUGGCGAAGGCGGCCUGCUGGGCUGUUGCUGACGCUGAGGCGCGACAGCGUGGGGAGCAAACAGG